rnacentral:rRNA from 1 species
UGUUGUUUAAUUCGAAGAUACACGUAAGAACCUUUACCAGGUCUUGACAUACCAUUGACAGGCGCAGAGAUGUGCUCUCCUUCGGGCAAUGGAUACAGGUGGUGCAUGGUUGUCGUCAGCUCGUGCCGUGAGGUAUUGGGUUAAGUCCCGCAACGAGCGCAACCCUCAUUGUUAGUUACUACCAUUCAGUUGAGGACUCUAAUGAGACUGCCAACGAUAAGUUGGAGGAAGGUGGGGAUGACGUCAAAUCAUCAUGCCCCUUAUGACCUGGGCUACAAACGUACUACAAUGGCCAAUACAAAGAGAUGCGAAGCGGUGACGUGGAGCGAACCUCAGAAAGUUGGUCUCAGUUCAGAUUGAAGUCUGCAACUCGACUUCAUGAAGGCGGAAUCGCUAGUAAUCGCGGGUCAGCAGACCGCGGUGAAUACGUCCCCGGGUUUU